CCUUAUCUUCCACCUAAAGAUCAUCUAAGAGUUUCUUUUCAAGUUUUCAAGCCAUUGAAGAAGAAAAAACCAUUCAAUGAAGCAUUAUUUCUACAAUGAGUGGAGAAAUAACAAGCUGUUUUAAACAAGUUUCCAAUGACCUAAAACAAACGGCAAUAAAAACACCAACGUUCCAAAGACCUAAAUAUCUGAGUUCAUCAUCUAGAAAAACCUGUUGAUGGAUAAUUGAGUUUGGUUAUACUUUGGAGGGCACAUGCUGACUACAUCUGUUGGAUUGGCUUCUUACCCAUUGUGGAAGAGAUGGAUUAUUUUAUGAUGAAGUGAAGCAGUUCUUGGAUUGGGGAGGGAUCUAAGAUUAACAAUCUGAGAGGGAUAAAGCUGUGAGGUAAGCUAGAAGUGAUAUUUUCUUGUCAAUCGCUUCAUUAUGGAUAAGUAUUACAAAGGUUCAAACUUUGAGAUACUCUUGUUGUGUGGAUACAAGAAAGCGGGUCUGCCCAAGACAUUGUACAAUGGUUUCUCCUUUUAACACGGAUAAUGUGGAUUUUAUUACUUGGUUGCUGCAACCUUUCUACUGUUCUUGUUAGGCUCUUAUAGACUAUGUUUUGUCAUCUUCUUCACCUUGUGCUUCUUUUCUUCAUCUUCUUCUCACUUAACUCCUUUCUCUUUGUUGAAGGUUAAUCUCAACACUUAGCUCGGUUUGUUUUUGUAUUGCAAUUUCCCCAUAUGUUCAAUACAAAAAGAAUAAACACUUCGUCCUUUCUGUGAA